rnacentral:antisense_RNA from 1 species
AAUAAAUUCAAAUUUCUAAUAGCUAUAGGGCCGUGAAAAAUGCAGAAAGAAAUUAGAUAUAUCGUAAGCUAUGCAUUUAAAUAUAUAAAUACUAAAUCAUUUUUUAAAAUUUUAGUUAGCAAUUGGGAAUUAUUAGUUUUGGGGGGCGCCAUUAUACAUGCAAUUGAAUCCAAAAAACACCAAUUCAAAAGUUAUUUGGAAGCUUUUAAAAUUCAACGGGGUUAAAACAGAAAUAGGUUAGUAUUUUAUAGCAAUUAAAAAAUUCGUUAACUAGCACACGAAAAAUAGAGCAAUUCAAUCCGUGUACACGUUAACUCAAAUUUCUAGCAGUUUUAUUGCCAUCUCUUCCAUUUGGUCUAGCGCGCAUUCUAUUGGCUGUAGGUAAAUUUAAGUUAAAAUGCCUUGCAAUUAUCUAUCAAAAACUUACAGUAAUCUGUAAUGACUCUACCUCUUCUUUAAAGAGCUUAGAGUAAUCUGUUUGAUUCCCCAGAGGAGAAACUACGGCAAAUUUUUUUUUUUAAGAAAAUUUUAUGAUUUACUUACCUUGCUGAUUCAUCAUUGGUAGAUCAAUUUGCGGACCUGAAACUCCUUCAAACCCAAUAAUAGAAAGGAAAAGAUGAACAACCUCUCCACAACAGAGUAAUGCAAUGAAAUAAAAUGAUAGAGCUGACAAAAAUGAGGCGCUUAUAUUUGGAUUUGAUUCUAUUCCUCUUUGAAGCAUUCCCUUAAAUGAAUAAGAAAGUGGGAAAGGAAUAUAAACAACUAGAAAUCCCGAAAAUAAUGUGUUGACUAAGUAUCCCAUCCCUCCAUUCAAAAUCAGAAACCCAAAUUGGUUUUUCAUCAUAUCUGUAAGUGCAGAGUGGUCUAAAUUGUUGAAAAAUUAUGAAGUCAUAAGAAUUAAGCACGUAAACAUACCUGGGUUUGAGAGUGCAGCCAAUGGGCUUGGAGAUUCUGGAGAGUUAUGAAAAUAUCCACUCUCUAGUUCACAAUAAAACAGCUUUCUUUUCAAAAAUGAAUCUUCUGGAAUUAAAAAUCUUCUAGACCUUAUUAAUGCACUCCUAUUGAGGUGAUUUUGGAACUCUUGAUUUCUCAAAGACACGCGUUGAGUGGACAUCAAGCAAUCAUUCAAAUUUUUCUCAUUCUUAAAAGGCAACCUUUUCUUUUUCUUUUUUUGCGAGGAUGUUUGAAGAAUUGUUCUUAAAAUAACUCCACAAAAAACUAAUAUGGUAACGGGAAUUGUACACCAAUAUAGUAUUUUCUUAUCCAGGUACAUUACUUGAACCCACUCUAUUUUUUUACUUUAUCUUAAACUCUUUUGUUAUAUUCAGCCUCCAGUGCUUUUGGCCCUCAUUAGUUACAGAAAACAAAAAAAUUCGCGCAAUGUUUAUUUUACUAGUCUGAGUAACAUAAGAAAAUAUUAAAAUUAAAAAAGCACUUAAAGAC